AUAGAAACGUUGAGAAGGAUUAGUAUAAUUUGGUUUGUUUUUAAGAGAGGGAAUGGGUGGUGCGAAUUCCUAAAACACAAAUUAGAACCUGCCUUUAAGUUCGUCAUCGGAAAAGCUAUUGCUCAGAAGAUGUACGCGGUAUUUUACCGUUAUCAGGCUAAGUGUACAGGAUGUAUGAUUCCUGUAAACAAGGGUGGUACCACCAAACCUCGGUCCCUUAU
rnacentral:ncRNA from 1 species